UACGGGGGGGGCAAGCGUUGUUCGGAAUUACUGGGCGUAAAGGGCUCGUAGGCGGCCAACUAAGUCGGAUGUGAAAUCCCCAGGCUUAACCUGGGAACUGCAUCCGAUACUGGAUGGCUUGAAUCCGGGAGAGGGAUGCAGAAUUCCAGGUGUAGCGGUGAAAUGCGUAGAUAUCUGGAGGAAUACCGGUGGCGAAGGCAGCCUUCUGGGCCAACACUGACGCUCAUGCACGAAAGCGUGGGGAGCAAACAGG
rnacentral:rRNA from 1 species